GCCAGCUCUGAUCCCAGCCUCCCUGAGGGAUUCUGUCCUGAGCUGCCCGAGGCCCUUCACUGCCCCACUCGGGGCAGCACAGUACAGGAUGCAUUGGGUUGGGGGUCUA
rnacentral:miRNA from 1 species